CACUUUGUUCUUGGUCUUAUAAGAUCUUUCUUUUGGCUCUCAAUUCUUGUGAGUAAAUGCCUUUCUUCUUUAAAAAGAUCAUUGGAUACGAUCCAUCUGUUACAUCGCAAUCCGUCCCUAACACUCCCGCUGCAGGAGAUAACAUGUUUAAUUAUACCUGUCCAUGGUGUUGAUAUUCUUUUGCUUUGGGACCAAUAAAGCAAUAACUUCAAACCGUUUUGUUGUUGAGAUAUCUUCAGACUCCAUACUUUAAAUCGUACACUUCCCCAUUCACUCCUCUGUAUUUUAUUCUUAAUCAUCAACACCACUGAAUC
rnacentral:lncRNA from 1 species